rnacentral:rRNA from 1 species
GACGAACGCUGGCGGCGUGCUUAACACAUGCAAGUCGAACGGUGAAGCGCCUUCCUUUUUGGUGGGUGUGGAUGAGUGGCGAACGGGUGAGUAACACGUGAGUAACCUGCCCCCUUCUUCUGGAUAACCGCAUGAAAGUGUGGCUAAUACGGGAUAUUCUGGGUCUGUCGCAUGAUGGGUCUGGGAAAGAUAUUGUUUCGGUGGGGGAUGGGCUCGCGGCCUAUCAGCUUGUUGGUGGGGUGAUGGCCUACCAAGGCGGUGACGGGUAGCCGGCCUGAGAGGGUGGACGGUCACACUGGGACUGAGACACGGCCCAGACUCCUACGGGAGGCAGCAGUGGGGAAUAUUGCACAAUGGGCGCAAGCCUGAUGCAGCGACGCCGCGUGAGGGAUGGAGGCCUUCGGGUUGUGAUCCUCUUUCGCCAGUGAAGCAGGCCUGCCUCGUUUGUGGGUGGGUUGACGGUAGCUGGAUAAGAAGCGCCGGCUAACUACGU